GAACCUUACCUGGGCUCGAAAUGCUAUGGACCGGAGUAGAAAUAUUCCUUCCCCGCAAGGGGCCGUAGUAUAGGUGCUGCAUGGCUGUCGUCAGCUCGUGUCGUGAGAUGUUGGGUUAAGUCCCGCAACGAGCGCAACCCUUAUCUUCAGUUGCUANCAUUUAGUUGAGCACUCUGACGAAACCGCCUCGGAUAACGGGGAGGAAGGUGGGGAUGACGUCAAGUCCUCAUGGCCUUUAUGUCCAGGGCUACACACGAGCUACAAUGGCCGGUACAAACCGUCGCAAACCCGUGAGGGGGAGCUAAUCGGAAAAAGCCGGCCUCAGUUCGGAUUGGAGUCUGCAACUCGACUCCAUGAAGCUGGAAUCGCUAGUAAUCGUGGAUCAGAACGCCGCGGUGAAUACGUUCCCGGGCCUUGUCACACCGA
rnacentral:rRNA from 1 species